AAUAUAGCAGCGAAUGACAUAACUUUUUCCCCAUCAGAUUAACCCUGUUGAUCUUUAUACUAUUGACCAAUUUUGUCUGAUGCAUU
rnacentral:snoRNA from 1 species